rnacentral:rRNA from 1 species
GACGAACGCUGGCGGCGUGCUUAACACAUGCAAGUCGAACGGAAAGGCCCUGCUUUUGUGGGGUGCUCGAGUGGCGAACGGGUGAGUAACACGUGAGUAACCUGCCCUUGACUUUGGGAUAACUUCAGGAAACUGGGGCUAAUACCGGAUAGGAGCUCCUGCUGCAUGGUGGGGGUUGGAAAGUUUCGGCGGUUGGGGAUGGACUCGCGGCUUAUCAGCUUGUUGGUGGGGUAGUGGCUUACCAAGGCUGUGACGGGUAGCCGGCCUGAGAGGGUGACCGGCCACAUGGGGACUGAGAUACGGCCCAGACGCCUACGGGAGGCAGCAGUGGGGAAUAUUGCACAAUGGGCGGAAGCCUGAUGCAGCAACGCCGCGUGCGGGAUGACGGCCUUCGGGGUGUAAACCGCUUUCGCCUGUGACGAAGCGUGAGUGACGGUAAUGGGUAAAGAAGCACCGGCUAACUACGUG